rnacentral:rRNA from 1 species
UUCGCCCUUAGAGUUUGAUCCUGGCUCAGGACGAACGCUGGCGGCGUGCCUAACACAUGCAAGUCGAGCGAAGUGCUUAGGAUUGAUCCCUUCGGGGUGAUGUCUUAAGUAUCUUAGCGGCGGACGGGUGAGUAACGCGUGAGAAACCUGCCUCACACAAGGGGAUAGCCAUUGGAAACGGUGAUUAAUACCCUAUGACAUGGACGCUUCGCAUGGAGCAGCCAUUAAAGUGUUAGCGGUGUGAGAUGGUCUCGCGUCUGAUUAGCUAGUUGGUGAGAUAACAGCUCACCAAGGCGACGAUCAGUAGCCGGCUUGAGAGAGUGAACGGCCACACUGGAACUGAGACACGGUCCAGACUCCUACGGGAGGCAGCAGUGGGGAAUAUUGCACAAUGGAGGAAACUCUGAUGCAGCGACGCCGCGUGAGCGAAGAAGGCCUUCGGGUUGUAAAGCUCUGUCCUUGGUGAAGAUAAUGACGGUAGCCAAGGAGGAAGCCCCGGCUAACUACGUGCCAGCAGCCGCGGUAAUACGUAGGGGGCGAGCGUUGUCCGGAAUUAUUGGGCGUAAAGGGUACGUAGGCGGUUUUUUAAGUCAGCAGUUAAAGCGCGGGGCUCAACCCCGUAAAGCUGUUGAAACUGGAGAACUUGAGAGAUGGAGAGGAAAGUGGAAUUCCUAGUGUAGCGGUGAAAUGCGUAGAUAUUAGGAGGAAUACCGGUGGCGAAGGCGACUUUCUGGACAUCAACUGACGCUGAGGUACGAAAGCGUGGGGAGCAAACAGGAUUAGAUACCCUGGUAGUCCACGCCGUAAACGAUGAGUGCUAGGUGUCGGGGGUCAAACCUCGGUGCCGUCGUUAACACAGUAAGCACUCCGCCUGGGGAGUACGCGCGCAAGCGUGAAACUCAAAGGAAUUGACGGGGACCCGCACAAGCAGCGGAGCAUGUGGUUUAAUUCGAAGCAACGCGAAGAACCUUACCAGGGCUUGACAUAUGGGUAAAAGAUCUAGAGAUAGAUCCCUCUCUUCGGAGAUAGCCAUACAGGUGGUGCAUGGUUGUCGUCAGCUCGUGUCGUGAGAUGUUGGGUUAAGUCCCGCAACGAGCGCAACCCUUGUCACUAGUUACCAGCACUUCGGGUGGGGACUCUAGUGAGACUGCCAGUGAUAAACCGGAGGGAGGUGGGGAUGACGUCAAAUCAUCAUGCCCUUUAUGUCCUGGGCUACACACGUGCUACAAUGGUCGGUACAGAGGGCAGCGAGACUGCGAAGUUAAGCGAAACUCAAAAAGCCGAUCCCAGUUCGGAUUGUAGGCUGCAACUCGCCUACAUGAAGUCGGAGUUGCUAGUAAUCGCAAAUCAGAAUGUUGCGGUGAAUGCGUUCCCGGGUCUUGCACUCACCGCCCGUCA